GAUGAACGCUGGCGGCGUGCCUAAUACAUGCAAGUCGAGCGAACGGACGAGAAGCUUGCUUUUCUGAUGUUAGCGGCGGACGGGUGAGUAACACGUGGAUAACCUACCUAUAAGACUGGGAUAACUUCGGGAAACCGGAGCUAAUACCGGAUAAUAUUUUGAACCGCAUGGUUCAAAAGUGAAAGACGGUCUUGCUGUCACUUAUAGAUGGAUCCGCGCUGCAUUAGCUAGUUGGUAAGGUAACGGCUUACCAAGGCAACGAUGCAUAGCCGACCUGAGAGGGUGAUCGGCCACACUGGAACUGAGACACGGUCCGGACUCCUACGGGAGGCAGCAGUAGGGAAUCUGCCGCAAUGGGCGAAAGCCUGACGGAGCAACGGCGCGUGAGUGAUGAAGGUCUUCGGAUCGUAAAACUCUGUUAUUAGGGAAGAACAUAUGUGUAAGUAACUGUGCACAUCUUGACGGUACCUAAUCAGAAAGCCACGGCUAACUACGUG
rnacentral:rRNA from 1 species